UACGGAGGGUGCGAGCGUUGUCCGGAAUCAUUGGGCGUAAAGGGCGCGUAGGUGGCGGGACAAGCGUGCGGUGAAAGCCUGGGGCUCAACCCCGGGUCGGCCGUGCGAACUGUUUUGCUUGAGCACUGUAGAGGCAGGCGGAAUUCCGGGUGUAGCGGUGGAAUGCGUAGAGAUCCGGAAGAACACCGGUGGCGAAGGCGGCUCACUGGCCCGGUACUGACGCUGAGGUGCGAAAGCGUGGGGAGCAAACAGG
rnacentral:rRNA from 1 species